CUCAGGAGCAGGUAUUGGGUGGCUGAUUUCUGGACCAUAGCAGGUCUGAAUGGAGGUGGUACGGGCUGCUCAUUGAUGGAGUGAAAGGCUGGUUGGAAUUUGCUUCUUUAGCUCAAGUAAUUUCUCCAUGUUUCAAAAGGACCGAGAGGCUGGCUCCACGUGGUUCAUCCCCUAAUCUCCCAGCCCGUCGGACCCCUCCUGAUCUGGGCCGAGACUGCUCGCGCUGAUGGCUGAGGAAGUUCUCUAGGAACUCUCGGUUGUAGUAUCUCGGUUGUAGUAGUUCACUUUGAACUCUCCUUUGUUCUUUUCUCUUUUCUUUGUUUCAACACAUGUAUUAUUAACUAGUUGUCAAAUCUCGUUUCAUGUAUUAUCAUCGUCGAAGAUUGUAAUUUAUUAGUGUGAAAUUCUGGAAAUUGUAUUUGUACUCUUUUUCAAGAAAUAAAAAUACUCAUUCAUUCUUUAA